CUGGCCCUGAAUCAAGGCUGGCAAACCUGACACUGCUGGUUUCAAGCAGGAGCCUAAAGAGAUGUCUUUCUAUGGUCUGUUGGACAUUUUAGAAUUUGGGCAGUGAAAUGGUCAAUUCAUUAGAAAGAAAAAUCU
ensembl:snoRNA small nucleolar RNA SNORA2/SNORA34 family